GGACGAACGCUGGCGGCGUGCUUAACACAUGCAAGUCGAACGGUGAACGAGGGAGCUUGCUCCCUCCGGAUCAGUGGCGAACGGGUGAGUAACACGUGAGCAAUCUGCCCCGAACUCUGGGAUAAGCGUUGGAAACGACGUCUAAUACCGUAUACGACGCGGGAGGGCAUCCUCUCCGCGUGGAAAGAACUUCGGUUCGGGAUGAGCUCGCGGCCUAUCAGCUUGUUGGUGAGGUAACGGCUCACCAAGGCGACGACGGGUAGCCGGCCUGAGAGGGUGACCGGCCACACUGGGACUGAGACACGGCCCAGACUCCUACGGGAGGCAGCAGUGGGGAAUAUUGCACAAUGGGCGCAAGCCUGAUGCAGCAACGCCGCGUGAGGGACGACGGCCUUCGGGUUGUAAACCUCUUUUAGCAGGGAAGAAGCGAAAGUGACGGUACCUGCAGAAAAAGCACCGGCUAACUACGUG
rnacentral:rRNA from 1 species